rnacentral:tRNA from 1 species
GGAGAGAUGGCCGAGCGGCUGAAGGCGCUCCCCUGCUAAGGGAGUAUGGGACUUAUACUUCCAUCGAGGGUUCGAAUCCCUCUCUCUCCGCCA